rnacentral:rRNA from 1 species
UACGGAGGGUGCAAGCGUUAUCCGGAUUCACUGGGUUUAAAGGGUGCGUAGGUGGGUCUGUAAGUCCGUGGUGAAAUCUCUAGGCUUAACCUGGAAACUGCCAUGGAUACUAUAGGUCUUGAAUACUGUGGAGGUCAGCGGAAUAUGUCAUGUAGCGGUGAGAUGCUUAGAUAUGACAUAGAACACCAAUUGCGAAGGCAGCUGGCUACACAAAUAUUGACACUGAGGCACGAAAGCGUGGGGAUCAAACAGG